AUCCUAGAUAGGCCAAGGUAUGGAAUCAUGUCAAGCUCAAAUACCUAUCCAUAUGUAUCUCGAUUUGAUGAUAAUGACUCGAUUGAUGAAUCAGUAGAAACUCUUUCUAAUAUUCAUCCUUGUUCUGGUCAAAGAUUCUCUGAGUCAUCAUCCUAUGAGACCACAUAGGAUGUUCGCUCCUCUUAUAAAGAGUGACCAAUUUUUUGUUGACCACUUAUAACCUUCAUACAUACUUCACCAUACCUAGAAUAUCCCACAC
rnacentral:lncRNA from 1 species